CAAUAUACGUGAUCUAAUCCACCUACACGAUGAAGACACUUAUUUAACGCGUUUCUGCUGAGAUUUGGGAUUUAAUUCAUAUUAAGCCUUUCUUCUCUUCUUCCACGAAUUUAGACGUCUUUCCCUCUCCUCGGAAAGAACUGAAAACCCUAAGAAGAGAGGAGUCUUCUUCUUCAAGUUUGUCUUCGCUUUGUCUUAAAUCGAUGUGCUUUUGUUCCAUUGAAGUUCUCUUCUGGUUGGGAUUUGGCACUUCAAUAAGAAGUUGAGGGAUAAUGGGACAUCACGACCAUCAUCACCAUCAUGACAAUGACAGCCCAUAUGAUGAUCCUUUCUUGGUAUGCUGCUGCUGCCCCUGCUUUGCGAUUCUCUCCAUCUUUAGGGGAAUUGGAAGGUGCGUCUUUGUGGCUUGCUUCCCCUUGUUGAGAUGUCUUGGCCUUGAUGAUUGUAGGCAUCACCACCACCACCAUCAUCAUUGUCAUUUCCAUUAAUGUUGUGUACCUACAGCCAUUGGUCUAAAUAGUUAUUCUAUUUAUAUAUGUUAAAAUGUAAUAAACAAUUUAUUUUGUUUGAAAACCAAUGGAUGUGAGAUCAAAUGGAUUGAUUUCAAGAACCUUGAUGCUUUGUCCCA